GAUGAACGCUGGCGGCGUGCCUAAUACAUGCAAGUCGAGCGAACAGACGAGGAGCUUGCUCCUCUGACGUUAGCGGCGGACGGGUGAGUAACACGUGGAUAACCUACCUAUAAGACUGGGAUAACUUCGGGAAACCGGAGCUAAUACCGGAUAACAUGUUGAACCGCAUGGUUCAACAGUGAAAGACGGUCUUGCUGUCACUUAUAGAUGGAUCCGCGCCGCAUUAGCUAGUUGGUAAGGUAACGGCUUACCAAGGCAACGAUGCGUAGCCGACCUGAGAGGGUGAUCGGCCACACUGGAACUGAGACAGGGUCCAGACUCCUACGGGAGGCAGCAGUAGGGAAUCUUCCGCAAUGGGCGAAAGCCUGACGGAGCAACGCCGCGUGAGUGAAGAAGGUCUUCGGAUCGUAAAACUCUGUUAUUAGGGAAGAACAAAUGUGUAAGUAACUAUGCACGUCUUGACGGUACCUAAUCAGAAAGCCACGGCUAACUACGUG
rnacentral:rRNA from 1 species